rnacentral:rRNA from 1 species
GAUGAACGCUGGCGGCGUGCCUAAUACAUGCAAGUCGAGCGAACAGACGAGGAGCUUGCUCCUCUGACGUUAGCGGCGGACGGGUGAGUAACACGUGGAUAACCUACCUAUAAGACUGGGAUAACUUCGGGAAACCGGAGCUAAUACCGGAUAAUAUAUUGAACCGCAUGGUUCAAUAGUGAAAGACGGUUUUGCUGUCACUUAUAGAUGGAUCCGCGCCGCAUUAGCUAGUUGGUAAGGUAACGGCUUACCAAGGCAACGAUGCGUAGCCGACCUGAGAGGGUGAUCGGCCACACUGGAACUGAGACACGGUCCAGACUCCUACGGGAGGCAGCAGUAGGGAAUCUUCCGCAAUGGGCGAAAGCCUGACGGAGCAACGCCGCGUGGGUGAUGAAGGUCUUCGGAUCGUAAAACUCUGUUAUUAGGGAAGAACAAAUGUGUAAGUAACUAUGCACGUCUUGACGGUACCUAAUCAGAAAGCAACGGCUAACUACGUG